AGGGUUCGAUCCUGGCUCAGGAUGAACGCUGGCGGCGUGCUUAACACAUGCAAGUCGAACGAACCUUCGGGUUAGUGGCGGACGGGUGAGUAACGCGUGGGAAUCUGCCCUCAGGAGGGGGAUAACGGUUGGAAACGGCCGCUAAUACCCCAUAUGCCGAGAGGUGAAAUGAAUUUCGCCUGAGGAUGAGCCCGCGUCUGAUUAGCUAGUUGGUGAGGUAAUGGCUCACCAAGGCAUCGAUCAGUAGCUGGUCUGAGAGGAUGAUCAGCCACACUGGGACUGAGACACGGCCCAGACUCCUACGGGAGGCAGCAGUGGGGAAUUUUCCGCAAUGGGCGCAAGCCUGACGGAGCAACGCCGCGUGAGGGAUGAAGGCCUCUGGGCUGUAAACCUCUUUUCUCAAGGAAGAAGAUCUGACGGUACUUGAGGAAUAAGCCACGGCUAAUUCCGUGCCAGCAGCCGCGGUAAUACGGGAGUGGCAAGCGUUAUCCGGAAUUAUUGGGCGUAAAGCGCCCGCAGGCGGCUUUUCAAGUCUGCUGUUAAAGCGUGGAGCUUAACUCCAUCAAGGCAGUGGAAACUGAUUGGCUUGAGUGUGGUAGGGGCAGAGGGAAUUCCCGGUGUAGCGGUGAAAUGCGUAGAUAUCGGGAAGAACACCAGUGGCGAAGGCGCUCUGCUGGGCCAUAACUGACGCUCAUGGACGAAAGCCAGGGGAGCGAAAGGGAUUAGAUACCCCUGUAGUCCUGGCCGUAAACGAUGAACACUAGGUGUCGGGGGAAUCGACCCCCUCGGUGUCGUAGCCAACGCGUUAAGUGUUCCGCCUGGGGAGUACGCACGCAAGUGUGAAACUCAAAGGAAUUGACGGGGGCCCGCACAAGCGGUGGAGUAUGUGGUUUAAUUCGAUGCAACGCGAAGAACCUUACCAGGGUUUGACAUCCUGCGAAUCUCUUGGAAACGAGAGAGUGCCUUUGGGAACGCAGUGACAGGUGGUGCAUGGCUGUCGUCAGCUCGUGUCGUGAGAUGUUGGGUUAAGUCCCGCAACGAGCGCAACCCACGUUUUUAGUUGCCAGCAUUCAGUUGGGCACUCUAGAGAGACCGCCGGUGAUAAACCGGAGGAAGGUGUGGAUGACGUCAAGUCAUCAUGCCCCUUACAUCCUGGGCUACACACGUACUACAAUGCUACGGACAAAGGGCAGCAAGUUCGCGAGGACAAGCAAAUCCCAUAAACCGUGGCUCAGUUCAGAUCGUAGGCUGCAACUCGCCUACGUGAAGAAGGAAUCGCUAGUAAUCGCAGGUCAGCAUACUGCGGUGAAUACGUUCCCGGGCCUUGUACACACCGCCCGUCACACCAUGGAAGUUGGCCACGCCCGAAGUCGUUACUCCAACCCUUGUGGAGGAGGACGCCGAAGGUGGGGCUGAUGACUGGGGUGAAGUCGUAACAAGGUAACC
rnacentral:rRNA from 1 species